rnacentral:rRNA from 1 species
UGUGGUCCGAUGAAUAUUGAGGCUCGUGGCGGAUAUCGUUAUUUUCUCACCUUCACAGAUGAUUUAAGCAGAUAUGGGUAUAUCUACUUAAUGAAACAUAAGUCUGAAACAUUUGAAAAGUUCAAGGAAUUUCAGAGUGAAGUUGAAAAUCAUCGUAACAAGAAAAUAAAGUUUCUACGAUCUGAUCGUGGAGGAGAAUAUUUGAGUUACGAGUUUGGUGUACAUUUGAAAAAUUGUGGAAUAGUUUCGCAACUCACGCCACCCGGAACACCUCAGCGUAAUGGUGUGUCCGAACGUCGUAAUCGUACUUUAUUGGAUAUGGUGCGAUCUAUGAUGUCUCUUACUAAUUUACCGCUAUCGUUUUGGGGAUACGCUCUAGAGACGGCCGCAUUCACAUUAAAUAGGGCACCAUCAAAAUCCGUUGACAUGACGCCUUAU